rfam:Buceros rhinoceros silvestris contig13410, whole genome shotgun sequence.
AUGCAUCUGUUUGACAGACCUGGAGCAAACGACCAUUGCUUCUCUGGUUACUGCUGAGAUGCAACAGUAAAGGGUUCCUUGCGCUUUCCACCUGUCUGACUGUGUGGCAGUCUGGAUUGAAUAAAGGAACACAGAU